rnacentral:rRNA from 1 species
CACGUAGGGCGCAAGCGUUGUCCGGAAUUAUUGGGCGUAAAGAGCUCGUAGGCGGUCUGUUGCGUCUGCUGUGAAAACCCGGGGCUUAACCCCUGGCUUGCAGUGGAUACGGACAGACUAGAGGUAGGUAGGGGAGAAUGGAAUUCCCGGUGUAGCGGUGAAAUGCGCAGAUAUCGGGAGGAACACCGGUGGCGAAGGCGGUUCUCUGGGCCUUACCUGACGCUGAGGAGCGAAAGCGUGGGGAGCGAAUGGG